GGUACCGUCAAUACAAUCACCUGUUGGAUAAUUGUAACUUCUUCCCAGUUGACAGAGCUUUACGACCCAAAGGCCUUCUUCACUCACGCGGCGUUGCUGCGUCAGGGUUUCCCCCAUUGCGCAAAAUUCCUCA
rnacentral:rRNA from 1 species